GCUUAUUGUUAAUAAUUUUAAGUCAAUCUGCUCAAUGAUUAAUUAAAUAGCUGCAGUAUAUCUGACUGUACAAAGGUAGCAUAAUCAAUUGUCUUUUAAUUAAAGGCUGGAAUGAAAGAAUUAAUGAAAUAUAUUCUGUCUCAAUUAUAAUUAAUGAAAUUAAAUUUUUAGUUAAAAUGCUAAAAUAUUUUUAUGGGACGAUAAGACCCUAUAGAAUUUUAUAUUAAUAAUUAAUUAUUUAUUAUUAAUAUUUUUUAUUAAUUAAUUAUUAAUAUUUUAUUGGGAGGAUUAUUAAAUUUAUUAAACUUUAAUUUUAUAAUUUCUAUAAUGUUAGAAUAAAUUAAAGAUAUUUAUUAAAAAUUUAAGAAUAAAUUACCUUAGGGAUAACAGCGUAAUAUUCUUUUGAGAGAUCUUAUUGAUAAAGAUGAUUGCGACCUCGAUGUUGAAUUAAGAUAAAUUUUAAAUGCAGGAGUUUAAAUAUUAAGUUUGUUCAACUUUUAAAAUCUUACAUGAUUUGAGUUCAGAUCGACGUGAGUCAGAUUGGUUU
rnacentral:rRNA from 1 species